rnacentral:rRNA from 1 species
ACGGAAGGCAGCAGUGAGGAAUAUUGGUCAAUGGAGGCAACUCUGAACCAGCCAUCUCGCGUGAAGGAAUACGGCCCUAUGGGUCUUAAACUUCUUUUAUAGGGGGAUAAAGUGAGGCAUGUAUGCCUUUUUGUAGGUACCCUAUGAAUAAGCAUCGGCUAACUCCGUGCCAGCAGCCGCGGUAAUACGGAGGACCCGAGCGUUAUCCGGAUUUAUUGGGUUUAAAGGGUGCGCAGGCGGAGGAUUAAGUCAGCGGUGAAAUUUUCAUGCUCAACAUGAAAACUGCCAUUGAUACUGGUCCCCUUGAGAGAUGUCGAGGAUGGCGGAAUGUGAUGUGUAGCGGUGAAAUGCUUAGAUAUGUCACAGAACACCGAUUGCGAAGGCAGCUGUCCAGAGAUCAUCUGACGCUCAGGCACGAAAGCAUGGGUAUCAAACAGGAUUAGAUACCCUGGUA